UACGUAGGGUGCAAGCGUUGUCCGGAAUUAUUGGGCGUAAAGAGCUCGUAGGCGGUUUGUUGCGUCGGCUGUGAAAUCCCGAGGCUCAACCUCGGGUCUGCAGUCGAUACGAGCAAACUAGAGUGUUGCAGGGGAGACUGGAAUUCCUGGUGUAGCGGUGAAAUGCGCAGAUAUCAGGAGGAACACCGGUGGCGAAGGCGGGGUCUCUGGGGCAACAACUGA
rnacentral:rRNA from 1 species